rnacentral:tRNA from 1 species
ACCUGGGUGGCUCAGUCGGUUAAGUGUCUGACUUCAGCUCAGACCAUGAUCGCAUGGUUCGUGGGUUCAAUCCCCACGUCGGGCU